rnacentral:tRNA from 1 species
AAAUAAGAAGUAAAAUUUUACAUUUAGUUUCGACCUAAAAAAUUGCUUUUUAAGCCUUAUUU